UAUACAGUGGCACUGCACUUUGUAGCGUUAAACCAAAACAUAAUCGUACGUCGAUGUGUUGUAUCGUCGGGAUUUUGGUUUUAAUUCAUUCUCUGGUUGUUUUCAGUGUGCUUAAGGAAUCAUAUGAACAGUUGAAAAAUACGUUCAUCACUUUUGGUGGAAAAUGGCAGUUCAUCUAGAAGGUUGUCCUUUUGAUAGCAGUAUGGAAAGAACAAUUUGGCCUACUCCCUGCCCGAGAAGUCCCAACACGGCUGUCUUUGCAUAUUAGAAUUGCAACAUGCUAAUGUCCAAUGGUCACAUGACGACCUUGUGGAUUCCGAACUCCGAAAAAUCGAUUCUUAUCCGGAAGAUGUUUGCAUCCACGGUGACGGAAGCAACUUUAAAAGUGAUUAAAUCGUAAAGCCAGAAUAACCGUGGACUACAUCAGAGUAAUUAUACUUUUAAGAAGUGCUCGUCUCCCUCACAUACACUACCGCUAGGUCAAUCCUGGCCAUGAAUCUUCGUAGAUCAUAGACCGAAAACGGGAUGGACCUCAAAUGAUAAGGGGCUUAAAAAGUAUCUGCCGUGGAAAAACCAUUCUGAUUGGCUGCACCAGAGUACUGUUGUAGACUAAGCGUGUCUGGGCGAAAUAAUACAAAGUGUUCUCUCCCCAACUGCAAACUGCAAGUGAGUUCAUACUUGGUAGCAUCUCAUUAAAAAAGGUGCGGAUCAGACUGACUAUACGGCCAGGAACACCCUUAGGGACAGCCGUCGCUUUCACCGGCUGAUGGCAUAGCUACAGGUGGUUAUAUUUGAAUGAGUCCGGACGUAUCUUCAUCACCUUUACACAAACGAAACCAAUUUCAGUCCGGAAAAAAAAGGAAAACCAGAAAUCAAUUCCUGAUGUAUAUACAGUUCAACAAAUUGUUAAUCAAUCAGUACUAAUACUUUUCCGAGAUAUUGAUAUUCUCGUGACCCGUUAAUAUUGCACUUUAAUAAUAAAUAUUAAAUGUUAUUUUUAUUCAUGAUAUAAAAUGAGAGACUAUAGUAGAUUCACAUCAACCGUGCAUUUGAUUUCUAGCCCAGUUCCUUACGACGCUCCUGAUUGGCUGUUGAUAAGCCAAUCACAGGGCUGGAAACUCUCAGUCUCUCUCGAGAGUUCACAUAGGCAGGAUGUAUG